GGAGGAGAGAGGCCAAGCAUGCAACUGAGCCACUGGCACUAAAGUCAUCAAAGGGGAAGAAAAAUCAGGAAAAUACAAUCAAAUCUUUACUUUUACAAUGAUAAAGGAAUUUAUUCUAAAGAAGGAAGUAUUGGCGUAUACAAGCAAAACUAUGUACCAAGCAGUUCAUAAAUGAGUUGCCUCGCUCUUCUUCCAGUCACACAAUACCCCAAAUCUCUGUGGACCCUGAAUGAGAGAUUUCGAGCGGCACACUGCAUCACCUGUAGUCGCAGGCGUCGUCUCGAACGAUUUCAGGUGUAUCAGCCGAGCGGUGAGAAACUGGAGGGAAUCGGCAAUACACAGGUAAUAAUCACUGAGGAUCCGAGAAGGGCGAUUUUGUAGUGGCCGCCCCGAAGCUCUC